GGAGAGGUUUACUUAUCUUGUGGCAGCUGUGAUGUCUAGUUUGGGGAUUACUUCUAUGGCGAUUUUGGCGGUUUAUUACAGAUUUUCAUGGCAAAUGGAGGGUGGAGAAGUGCCUUUUUCUGAAAUGUUAGCUACAUUCACUCUCUCGUUUGGCGCUGCCGUAGGAAUGGAGUACUGGGCGAGAUGGGCUCAUAGAGCACUAUGGCAUGCUUCUUUAUGGCACAUGCACGAGUCGCACCAUAGACCAAGAGAAGGACCUUUUGAGAUGAACGACGUUUUCGCCAUAACAA
rnacentral:misc_RNA from 1 species